UACAGAGGUCUCAAGCGUUGUUCGGAUUCAUUGGGCGUAAAGGGUGCGUAGGCGGCGCGGUAAGUCGGGUGUGAAAUCUCGGAGCUUAACUCCGAAACUGCAUUCGAUACUGCCGUGCUUGAGGACUGGAGAGGAGACUGGAAUUUACGGUGUAGCGGUGAAAUGCGUAGAUAUCAGGAGGAACACCCGUAGCGAAGGCGGCACUCUGGGCCGAUACUGACACUGAGGAGCGAAAGCGUGGGGAGCGAACAGG
rnacentral:rRNA from 1 species